CACCGCGGUUAUACGAGGGGCUCAAGUUGAUAAACACCGGCGUAAAAAGUGGCUAGUAUACCACUAAACUAAAGCUAAACAUCUUCAGAGGUGUUAUACCCAUACGAAGACAGGAAGUACUUCUACGAAAGUAGCUUUAAAUAAUUCUAUCCACGAAAGCUAGGAAA
rnacentral:rRNA from 1 species